rnacentral:rRNA from 1 species
AACGAACGCUGGCGGCGCGCUUAACACAUGCAAGUCGAACGAGAAGGCGUAGCAAUACGCUUGUACAGUGGCGAACGGGUGAGUAAUACGUGGGCGACCUACCCUCGAGUGGGGAAUAACCCGCCGAAAGGCGGGCUAAUGCCGCGUACGCUUCCAUCUUUAUGGAGGUGGAAGGAAAGCCGUGCCGUGGGCACGGCGCUCAAGGAUGGGCUCACGUCCUAUCAGCUUGUUGGUAGGGAACGGCCUACCAAGGCUCCGACGGGUAGCUGGUCUGAGAGGACGAUCAGCCACACUGGCACUGCGACACGGGCCAGACUCCUACGGGAGGCAGCAGUGAGGAAUAUUGCGCAAUGGGCGAAAGCCUGACGCAGCGACGCCGCGUGGGGGAUGAAGGUCUUCGGAUUGUAAACCCCUUUCGGGAGGGAAGAUGGGACGGGCAACCGUUCGGACGGUACCUCCAGAAGCAGCCACGGCUAACUUCGUGCCA